rnacentral:ncRNA from 1 species
ACGCCGUCCCGAGCGGCGUCAGCGGCCUUGAACGGGCCCAGGCGGGGGUGGUGCCGUGUCGGCGCAGCACCACCCCACGCCAU